GUCCUGUUCGAUUAGUUGGUUAAAUCAUCUCGUUGUGGCGUUUCGGCGAAACCCUGUGGCUCCGAGAAGCCGGAAGUUCGAAUCCUCCACAGGACA